rnacentral:tRNA from 2 species
GGGUGAUUAGCUCAGCUGGGAUAGCACCUCCCUUACAAGGAGGGGGUCGGCGGUUCGAUCCCGUCAUCACCCACCA